CCCUGUUACUGAUUUUACCUCACCCGGCCCUGCUGGAGCGUACACACACAUGCACGCACGCACACACGCACACACACACACGCACACACACACACACACAAACACACACACACACACCACUGGGACACCAGAGCUGAGAGGCCAGGGCAGGGGGACACUUGACGUCUGGACUGACAGAACCACAGUAAGGGAGGACAGGACCCUCGGUAUCUAACCAGGGGGUGAAACAACACCCCUAAGGACAGCGUCAGGGGAGCAGAGCUAUCCAUAGGGUUCAAAGUUGGGGGUAGGGCUGGCUGGGCGGAGGGAAGGAGAGGUGGAGUGAAGGGUGUAGGGAGGAAAUGUUAGGAACAGGAGGAGCCCUGUCUGUGUCCGGAGGGAAAGGGAAGACAGCGCUGCCCGGCCUGGCCACAGACACAGCUGGUUCCUGCCAGAGGAAGCCCCAACGGAGGCCGAGGCCUGGUGUCUACCGCUAUCACAACCCAGCAGCACUGUUUACCUUCCCCUGGGGAACCACCCCUUUCACACGGCGGGGUCAGGACACACACACCCACACUGUUACAGUUGCACUCAGUCCUGGCUCACACGGGCGCCACUGCUCUGCUUUCACUGUGUGGACUAGAGGAGGGUUCAGGCCAGUGCACUGCCCCUCAGCCGGAACAACGAGGAAACGAGGAGCCACGAGGCUAGCUGACCUCCCCCUGCCACUCACACACACACACACUGUUACCUCACACACUCCUGUUGAGUGAGUCGGAGAAAGAGAAGGGGAGAGAGAGACUACUGGGUGGAGAGAAAGAGUAUCGGACACAGAUAAUUACACAAGUCUGGUGGCGCCGCGAUCCAUCUGAGGUGACGUGUCGUGGACGGGAAGAAAGUACGAGGUAAAGGAAGAGUCAUUUGAAGGCUGUUAGCUGCAUAAAGUAAAAAGGAAGGGGAACUUUAAAGAAAGUCUUGUUCGAGUGGGAGGAAGAAGAAGUCGAGUACAAAAAGACAUCUCUCUGUCUGGCAGCCAUGUGAUCUGGCUGUGCUGGGCUCAUGUUCUAAUCAUGAGAGCAAGAGGACUCACUCUGUGAUCUCCCCAGGCCUGGAUGAGUCAGUCAGUCAGUGGGUUAGUCAGUCAGUCAGUCAGUCUGUCAGUCGGUAAGCACCCUAAGCACACAGGAGAAAGGACAUCAACCCUCCGGUCUACACACAGAGAAAGUUACUUGUGUGGUUUAGUGUGUCCCCUGUCCAGCCGAGAGUUCUAGAAACACACAGAGGACAGGACAACGUUGUGGAUUACUGCUGUGGGGAGGGGGGAUGCAGAGUAUGGCCGCCGAGGUCCACCUGGAGCGGCAGAGGAGGUCUGACCUACGGAGAGCCUCAACCUCAGCCUCCACCUCGGCCAAUUUGACCGCUCCUCCCAGGGUUCCCACGGUGAUGCUGACCAGUCACAGGGGGACGCUGUGCAGACGGAACCCUCACAGGCUGGAAUCUGGCAACCCCAACCUGGCAACCAGGAGCCACCGCACAGCCAACCAAGACAGACACCCAGGCAGACCUGAGAGGAGAGCAGCCCAGCCGUGCAGCACAGGGCCAGGCAGGGUACCUGUCUACAUUUGUCCAUGGCUGGGAGCGGGGACAUUGCAGUCCUACUGGCAGGAGCCACCAGCUCAAUAUACCAGUAUUGAUGCAGGGACUGGUUUGGGUUUUUACUUUACCUUCUAUACCGGUAUUUGAAUGUUUGGUUUGUUAAAUGUGAUACGCCAUGUGUAAUGUCACUUUUUAUAGUUGACUUCGCUACUUGAGUCAUCUCUCUCCGCUCUUUCUCUCCGUGACACUUUCCACACAGACCUAGCCACGCCCCCUGUCACUCAAGGAGCGCAUUUGAUGUUCCUCGACCACAAGACACUUGCGUUCAGUCUGCAUGGUCAAUGUAGCAUAUACAACAACAAUACUGAUGACAACAAUGCUGUUUUCACUUUGCUUCUUAACAUAAAUCCACUAGCGUUCUAUAGUGACACUAUUAGUUUGUGUUUCUUACGUCAGUAAACAGCUAGUUUGUCUUUUCUUAGCAAGUUGCCCUAAAUCUUGUGAGACGCUAAUUGUUAGCCGAUAAAGCUAAUAGCUAGCUAAUAAAUGUACUGAGUAAGAGCAAACGUAGCUAGCUAAUACAGCCUGACAAUGCCAGUGAUGGUGUAGACCUAAAUCAGCAUGUUGUUUGUGUAAUAGUAUCUUCUAAAUCAGAGAAAUAUGCGAAGCAAGAAUAUGUUGGCUACAUGAAGUAGCUAAGAGAAAACAUUCAAUGUAGCCAAAGCUGAUAGGGUCCCCUAGAAAACACUUAUCAACACUAGUUCCUACCCUGUCACAAGAACUCCCUGGCGUUUUAAUUCGUUGUCAUCUCAAACAACACUGUAUUCAAAGUGCCCACUAUUAUAUUCUAACUAUAGAAUUAGAAUAGUCUUUAUAUUUAUGAUACUGCCCAAUCCUUUCACUAGUUAUUUUUUCUUACCCUGUCCAUAGAUUCGUUUUAUAUUUCCAUGAUUCCAUUUUUUUUGCUCUAAUUCGCAAGUGAAAUCGCAAUUGCAACAUUUGGUUAAAAAUAAAUCCUAGAUUAUAUGCCCACAUCAUGCAGCACUGUGGAAAUGAUCUCCAAAACAAAAAAUACCGUCCAUUUUUUUAAAAAUACAGUGGUAUAAUAUUUUGGCCAUAUCACCCAGCCCUAGCAGGGCUUCAAUACUAACACCUUGUGUUUAGGGGGAUCGGAGUGGUGUCCUGGCGAGCGCCCCUUGUGUUUGAGAGGACCACAGUCAGAUAUUCAAUGGCCAUUGUAGCUUCUAGAAUCUAGAAUAACACUCUUGAAAAUCAGAGUCUAGCUUUUUGGGAGUUCUACAUGCAAAUAUGGAAAUAGCCCAGAGAAGAGAAGAGUUUAAGAGAAUGUUAACUGUGGCAGGAAUACUGUGGAAGGGUUCCAUUCAUUAACCAUUGCUCUGGAACACAGUGUGCCCUGCAUAUUUUUUUCAUAGUCAGCAGCAGAGGAUCUGAGUUUAGUAGUUCAGUAGUAGAGAGAAGAGCAGUAAGGAGCUGCGCCUGUCCGUCCUGGCUGUCCGUCCUGGCUGCAGAGGUGACUUCUCCCUGCCACCCCAGAAACACUUUAACCCCGAGGACCGCGGCACCCUCCUGCACCCUCCACCAUCCUGCAGCUGCUCUCCCUGGAGGUCAAGACCUAAUUAUCCUCCUGUUGCUUGUGUGGCAGUGACCCGAUGUGUUUGGUUAUUUUUGCACUUGACAGUGGAGGCGGCAGCGGCUGCAGCUUACCGGGUGGGUUGGGGUGGAGGUCUGUUCCAAACAUGGUCAGGAGUACUAGUACUACAUGCUAGUGGGGUUCCUGUAGGUCUAUGAGGCUCCCUGCGAGCUGCUCCCUGCGUGGCCGACAUGAUCCUGCUGUCCGAGUGGAGUUAACAGUGGAGUGAACUCCGAGACAGCUGAUAGAGAGGCCUGGCUUAAACCUUCCUCCUCAGCACAUGCCUCUGUACUGGUCUAAUACAGAUACUGGGUCCAGGACUCGCAGGGUAUACGCAUAUAUAAGUACGGUGGGUACACACACACAUGGUCUCACACACUGUAAAGCUAUCUUCUCCGUGGCUGUGAAAGCCAUCACACUCGGCAGCUCAUGUUUUUGUAGCAGAAGGAUCUCAUUCCACCCACAUCCCUCUGACGGCUGCUGCUUCCCCUGUUACACUCAGUGUUUACCAUGGAGCAUUUAAUACUGAAUACUCCAACACUGGGCCAGGGCUGAUUACUCUCACUGGAUAAUGUGUAUGCAUGGCCCCCGAAAAAUAUAUUAGAAAGAUUAUUACAUUUUAUCCACAUUAUUUCAAAGAACAAAUAUUAUUUUGAAUGAAAAAGUAUGUGAAUAUGUGUAAACAAUGUAGUUGAGAUUGCAAUCGAUAGACCUUUUAAUACAUCAAAAAGAAACCGACAUUUACAGCCUUCUCUCUGCAGCUUUGCAUAAGAAACUACAAGAGUUGUUGUGGUCGUAGUAGGAGGCAGAGAGAAUGCCAGUUUGGGGACUGGGCAGUGACAAGCCAGUGUGGGGACUGGGCAGUGACAAGCCAGUGUGGGGACUGGGCAGUGACAAGCCAGUGUGGGGACUGAGCAGUGACAAGCCAGUGUGGGGACUGGGCAGUGACAAGCCAGUGUGGGGACUGGGCAGUGACAAGCCAGUGUGUCCCGGUGUAUGUGGAAGGCGGCAGGGCACGGCAGAGGAAUAGCAGCCCUUGUCCUAUCUCCUGGAAAAGGCGAUGCCACCUGACCGCUCCAGGCCGUCCCGUCCCUCCUGUCCCCGACUGGAGCAGCCCUGCCUUUCCUUGUUUGGUCCCGGCUGGGGGCCUCAUUCCAGCCUCGUAGAAGUGUCUCUGUGAUGGACAGCGGCAGAUCCAGCUGCACUUGUCACUGACUGUCACGCGCCUGUCCAUAUGGAGGACGAGAGGGGACAGGCGGGGAGUAUCAGUGGGACUGGGGCGGAGGGGUGGGAAUGGAGAGUGGGG
ensembl:lncRNA